AGAUAUCUGUUGAAUCCAUUUGAUUUGAUCAUUAGUUAGUUUGAUUGUUUCUCUAUCUAGUUUCUGUUUUCAUGAUUUGUCCUUUGGUUAGUGCGGUGUUUUGGAGUCUCCCACUAUUACUGUGGACAUAUAAGUGUAUUAUUUAAGCUUUAGUAAUGCUUCUUCUACAAAUGUAGGUGCCCUUGUGUUUGAAGCAAAAUAUUCAGAAUUGAAACAUCAUCUUGGUGGAUUUUUGAUAUGAUAUGUAUCAUUUUACUAUGAUAUGCAUCCUUUCCCAUAUCUUUUGAGUAAAUUCAGUUAAAAGUUUAUUUUUAUUAGAUAUCAGGAUGGCUUCUUUCAAUUUGCUUCUUGGGUCCAUUUCCUUGAAAAAGCUAUUUCCAGCCCUUCACUCUGAGGUAAUGUCCUCUUUUUUUGUUAAGAUGUGUUUCUUGUUUGCAGCAGUCCUACUUAUGCAUCUAUUCUGUUAGUCUGUGGUUUUUUUUUUUUUUUUGAGGAAUUGAAUCCAUUAAUGUUGAGUGAUAUUAAUAACUAAUGUUUGCUAGUGCUGGUAAUUUUGAUUUUUAUGGUUGUAGUGAGUUUCUGUGUUUCUCUCCUUUUGGUUUUGCAGCAAUGGUGUUUUUUUAUAUCUUAUUUGUUUUCUUGGGUGUGGUUAACUUUAUUUGCUUGGAGUUUUCCUUCUAGUGUACAUUAAAGCUGAGAAGCAUAGACAUUGGUGUUUUGGGGUCCACAGCACAGCCUCUUACUUGCUGUGGAGUCACUAGAGUCCUAGCACUCAGAAACCAUGUGGACUGGGCACCACCAUUUUGAAUCCUCUUCAAAUAUCCAUCUUUUAAAUGGAAAUAUUUUUUUUCUGGUGCUGGAGAAAGACACAGGACCUUUUUCCAACUAAGGACACGUUACACACUAUACUAUCUUCUCUCUCAUAAAUGAUAUUUCUACUUGUGUUUAGUAACUCUAGCAUUACUUCAAAGGGGAAUAAUUUUAAUCUUGCUAUACAACUGGGGAGACUCCUAAACAAACUAAGCACCUUUAAAAAGAAACCCAUAUCAGAGAGAGGGAAAAUGAAUUUCUCUUAAAGGUCAACCAGUAAUCUGUGUGGGCCACUCAUAUAAAAUUUUGUCUCUCUUCAGCUGCAUCCAUUUUUGAGGAAAAUUAAAGUGACAAAUGCUGCUGGAGAUGAAAUAAGCUUUGAUGAGAACAAGAAUGUCAUGGAAACAUAUGAUAUACAAAACUUUAUUGCAUAUAGUAAGCAAAAUUCAUUAAUACUUAAAGUGGGAGAAUUUGUCUUCAAGAGUCCACAAGACCAAGGCUUUUUCAUCAAUGAAGUUCUGAUUCAAUGGCCAAACAAUUUUAAUCAGACUCCUCAAUCUGUAUGUACACAGAGCUGUGGUCCAGGAUUCUGGAAAGUUCUACAAGAAGAAAGACCCAUUUGCUGUUUUUCUUGUGUAUUUUGUCCGGAGUGGCACAUUUCCAACCAGACAGGUAGAAAAAUAACACCUAUCCUCAACUGCUUGGGAAUGUAGAAGGGGAAAGUUACAAACUGACUAUGGUGUCAUAAUGCAAUGCUGUUCUCCAUGUCUCUUUCCCUCAUCCCUGAAUCCAUUAGUAAUCACUGCUGAUGCCACAAAAUGUGUGAAGAUUUGAGUGGCAAUUCUCUUGCUAUUGUGUCAUAUGAAAACUACUAAAAAAAAAAAAAAAACCCUGCCUUUUGGUGCAUGACAUGGCUAUCUCCAUGGUAUAGGUUCCCCAUUAAUUGCGAGAUCUCCACUGGUCCAGAAUUGAUUUUUAUUUCUGCAAUAAACAAACCUAAUGAUUUUUGCCUGAAGAUAACUCCAGGAAAAGUA